AUUGAACGCUGGCGGCAUGCCUUACACAUGCAAGUCGAACGGUAACAGGUCUUCGGAUGCUGACGAGUGGCGAACGGGUGAGUAAUACAUCGGGACGUGCCUAGUAGUGGGGGAUAACUACUCGAAAGAGUGGCUAAUACCGCAUGAGAUCUACGGAUGAAAGCAGGGGAUCGCAAGACCUUGUGCUACUAGAGCGGCCGAUGGCAGAUUAGGUAGUUGGUGGGAUAAAAGCUUACCAAGCCGACGAUCUGUAGCUGGUCUGAGAGGACGAUCAGCGACACUGGGACUGAGACACGGCCCAGACUCCUACGGGAGGCAGCAGUGGGGAAUUUUGGACAAUGGGCGCAAGCCUGAUCCAGCAAUGCCGCGUGCAGGAUGAAGGCCUUCGGGUUGUAAACUGCUUUUGUACGGAACGAAAAGCCCUGGGUUAAUACCCUGGGGUCAUGACGGUACCGUAAGAAUAAGCACCGGCUAACUACGUGCCAGCCGCCGCGGUAAAAC
rnacentral:rRNA from 1 species